GGACUACCGGGGUAUCUAAUCCUGUUUGCUCCCCACGCUUUCGCGCCUCAGCGUCAGUUACGGUCCAGAGAGCCGCCUUCGCCACCGGUGUUCUUCCCAAUAUCUACGAAUUUCACCUCUACACUGGGAAUUCCACUCUCCUCUCCCGUACUCUAGCUCCAGAGUAUCAAAUGCAAUUCCCAGGUUAAGCCCGGGGCUUUCACAUCUGACUUUCAGAGCCGCCUGCGCGCCCUUUACGCCCAGUAAAUCCGAACAACGCUCGCCCCCUUCGUAUUACCGCGGCUGCUGGCAC
rnacentral:rRNA from 1 species